UGUCAGACGGACUCGCUGACCAGAAUCUUCCACAUCACAGCUCAGUCGGUGCUCUGUCUUCUGAAACAACAUCAUGCUUUUUCCUAUUAUUUUGUGUUGGAUGUGUUGCUUUGUCUGCAGGGCAAUCUUUGCUUCAACACCUACAAUGGGACCAACGACUAUCACGACACAGGUGACAACACCUCCAACUCUUACUACCCCUUACGUGGACCCACCUUUUGGUACUAAACCCCUGGAAAGUGGAUUUGCAAUUCUUCAGGUCGCUGUCCAAUCGUAUCAGGAGCUAAAUGAGACUACAGUUGAUCCAGUCUUCAGUCAGAUCUACAACAUCGUUCGGGCGAAGCGACCUGAUUUGAAAUUUCGACUGACCGUGAAAACUGUCCAGAAAGUUUGAUGGAUUAUGAUCCAAGGCAUAGCAGAUUGAAGUUCUAAUGGUACAUCAUGUUCUGCAGAUGUGAACUAUUGUACUGUAUUUUCAAUGAUUUUAUGCUGUUUAAUAUCAGUCAUUAUAUUCAUGUUAAUAAUAUAUUUGAACKUAUMAUUUMAUUGACUUAUAUUGACAUGCUGCACAUUCCUGUCACCAUCUGGGGGAGGAGCUGUAAUUCAAGAGUUAUGUCACAACUUUUCCCACUUUCAUAGAAUCUUGUCAUCUGCUUCCAGUGUUUUCUGAUGGAUUUGAU